rnacentral:rRNA from 1 species
CAUAUCAAUAAGCGGAGGAAAAGAAACCAACAGGGAUUGCCCCAGUAACGGCGAGUGAAGCGGCAACAGCUCAAAUUUGAAAUCUGGCCCCUAGGGCCCGAGUUGUAAUUUGCAGAGGAUGCUUUUGGCGAGGUGCCUUCCGAGUUCCCUGGAACGGGACGCCAUAGAGGGUGAGAGCCCCGUCUGGUUGGAUGCCGAGCCUCUGUAAAGCUCCUUCGACGAGUCGAGUAGUUUGGGAAUGCUGCUCUAAAUGGGAGGUAUAUGUCUUCUAAAGCUAAAUACCGGCCAGAGACCGAUAGCGCACAAGUAGAGUGAUCGAAAGAUGAAAAGCACUUUGAAAAGAGGGUUAAAUAGUACGUGAAAUUGUUGAAAGGGAAGCGCUUAUGACCAGACUUGGACCCGGUGAAUCAUCCAGCGUUCUCGCUGGUGCACUUUGCCGGGCUCAGGCCAGCAUCAGUUUGCCUUGGGGGAUAAAGGCUUUGGGAAUGUGGCUCCCUCGGGAGUGUUAUAGCCCAUUGCACAAUACCCUGGGGCGGACUGAGGUUCGCGCAUCUGCAAGGAUGCUGGCGUAAUGGUCAUCAGCGACCCGUCUUGAAACACGGACCAAGGAGUCGUCUUCGUAUGCGAGUGUUCGGGUGUAAAACCCCUACGCGUAAUGAAAGUGAACGCAGGUGAGAGCUUCGGCGCAUCAUCGACCGAUCCUGAUGUUCUCGGAUGGAUUUGAGUAAGAGCAUACGGGGCCGGACCCGAAAGAAGGUGAACUAUGCCUGUAUAGGGUGAAGCCAGAGGAAACUCUGGUGGAGGCUCGCAGCGGUUCUGACGUGCAAAUCGAUCGUCAAAUAUGGGCAUGGGGGCGAAAGA